CAAGACCUUGCGCUCUUGGAGCGGCCGAUGUCUGAUUAGCUAGUUGGUGAGGUAAUGGCUUACCAAGGCGACGAUCAGUAGCUGGUCUGAGAGGACGACCAGCCACACUGGGACUGAGACACGGCCCAGACUCCUACGGGAGGCAGCAGUGGGGAAUUUUGGACAAUGGGGGAAACCCUGAUCCAGCCAUGCCGCGUGAGUGAAGAAGGCCUUCGGGUUGUAAGCUCUUUCAGCCGGAACGAAACGGUCACGGCUAAUAUCCGUGACUACUGACGGUACCGGAAGAAGAAGCACCGGCUAACUACGUGCCAGCAGCCGCGGUAAUACGUAGGGUGCAAGCGUUAAUCGGAAUUACUGGGCGUAAAGCGUGCGCAGGCGGUUUUGUAAGUCAGAUGCGAAAGCCCCGGGCUUAACCUGGGAACU
rnacentral:rRNA from 1 species